GUGGGGAAUCUUCCGCAAUGGGCGAAAGCCUGACGGAGCAAUGCCGCGUGAGUGACGAAGGCCUUCGGGUUGUAAAGCUCUGUCUUUAGGGACGAAGAUAUGACGGUACCUAAAGAGGAAGCCACGGCUAACUACGUGCCAGCAGCCGCGGUAAUACGUAGGUGGCAAGCGUUGUCCGGAAUGACUGGGCGUAAAGGGCGCGUAGGUGGACUGAUCAGUCGGAUGUGAAAUAUCCGGGCUUAACCUGGAGGGUGCAUCCGAUACGGUCAGUCUUGAGUGCAGGAGAGGGCAGUGGAAUUCCCAGUGUAGCGGUGAAAUGCGUAGAGAUUGGGAGGAACACCAGUGGCGAAGGCGGCUGCCUGGACUGUAACUGACACUGAGGCGCGAAAGCGUGGGGAGCAAACAGGAUUAGAAACCCUAGUAGUCC
rnacentral:rRNA from 1 species